CCUACGGGUGGCAGCAGUGAGGAAUAUUGGUCAAUGGCCGCACGGCUGAACCAGCCAAGUCGCGUGAGGGAUGACGGUCCUAUGGAUUGUAAACCUCUUUUGUCAGGGAGCAAAGGGCGCCACGUGUGGCGUUUUCCGAGGACCUGAAAAAAAAGCAUCCGCUAAAUCCGUGCCAGCAGCCGCGGUAAUACGGAGGAUGCGAGCGUUAACCGGAUUUAGUGGGGUUAAAGGGUGCGCAGGCGGAAUGUCAAGUCAGCGGUAAAAUUUCGGGGCUCAACCCCGUAGUGCCGUUGAAACUGGCGGUCUUGAGUGAGCGAGAAGUAUGCGGAAUGCGUGGUGUAGCGGUGAAAUGCAUAGAUAUCACGCAGAACUCCGAUUGCGAAGGCAGCAUACCGGCGCUCAACUGACGCUCAUGCACGAAAGCGUGGGUAUCGAACAGGAUUAGAUACCCCAGUAGUC
rnacentral:rRNA from 1 species